rnacentral:rRNA from 1 species
AGGGCGCACGGUGGAUGCCUUGGCACUAGGAGCCGAUGAAGGACGGGACUAACACCGAUAUGCUUUGGGGAGCUGUAAGUAAGCUAUGAUCCAGAGAUUUCCGAAUGGGGGAACCCAAUAUCUUUUAUAGGAUAUUACUUUUCAGUGAAUACAUAGCUGAUUAGAGGUAGACGCAGAGAACUGAAACAUCUUAGUACCUGCAGGAAGAGAAAGAAAAUUCGAUUCCCUGAGUAGCGGCGAGCGAAACGGGAAGAGCCCAAACCAACAAGCUUGCUUGUUGGGGUUGUAGGACUCCAAUAUGGUAGUCUGUUAGUAUAGUUGAAGGAUUUGGAAAAUUCCGCUAAAGAGGGUGAAAGCCCCGUAGACGAAAUGCUGACAACACCUAGGAGGAUCCUGAGUACGGCGGAACACGAGAAAUUCCGUCGGAAUCCGCGGGGACCAUCCCGCAAGGCUAAAUACUCCCUAGUGACCGAUAGUGAACCAGUACCGUGAGGGAAAGGUGAAAAGCACCCCGGAAGGGGAGUGAAAUAGAUCCUGAAACCGUGUGCCUACAACAAGUCAAAGCUCGUUAAUGAGUGAUGGCGUGCCUUUUGUAGAAUGAACCGGCGAGUUACGAUUGCAUGCGAGGUUAAGUCGAAGAGACGGAGCCGCAGCGAAAGCGAGUCUGAAUAGGGCGAAUGAGUAUGUAGUCGUAGACCCGAAACCAUGUGAUCUACCCAUGUCCAGGUUGAAGGUGCGGUAAAACGCACUGGAGGACCGAACCCACGUACGUUGAAAAGUGCGGGGAUGAGGUGUGGGUAGCGGAGAAAUUCCAAACGAACUUGGAGAUAGCUGGUUCUCUCCGAAAUAGCUUUAGGGCUAGCCUCGGAAUUGAGAAUGAUGGAGGUAGAGCACUGUUUGGACUAGGGGCCCAUCUCGGGUUACCGAAUUCAGAUAAACUCCGAAUGCCAUUCAUUUAUAUCCGGGAGUCAGACUGCGAGUGAUAAGAUCCGUAGUCGAAAGGGAAACAGCCCAGACCACCAGCUAAGGUCCCAAAAUAUAUGUUAAGUGGAAAAGGAUGUGGGGUUGCACAGACAACUAGGAUGUUGGCUUAGAAGCAGCCACCAUUUAAAGAGUGCGUAAUAGCUCACUAGUCGAGUGACCCUGCGCCGAAAAUGUACCGGGGCUAAACAUAUUACCGAAGCUGUGGACUACACCAUUAGGUGUAGUGGUAGGAGAGCGUUCUAAGGGCGUUGAAGGUCGAUCGUGAGGACGGCUGGAGCGCUUAGAAGUGAGAAUGCCGGUAUGAGUAGCGAAAGACAGGUGAGAAUCCUGUCCACCGUAUGACUAAGGUUUCCUGGGGAAGGCUCGUCCGCCCAGGGUUAGUCGGGACCUAAGCCGAGGCCGAUAGGCGUAGGCGAUGGACAACAGGUUGAUAUUCCUGUACCAGUUGUUUUUGUUUGAGCAAUGGAGGGACGCAGUAGGCUAAGGAAUGCAUGCGAUUGGAAGUGCAUGUCCAAGCAAUGAGUCUUGAGUAGAGUUAAAUGCUUUACUCUUUAAGGACAAGUUGUGACGGGGAGCGAAAUAAUAGUAGCGAAGUUCCUGAUGUCACACUGCCAAGAAAAGCUUCUAGUGAGAAAACAACUGCCCGUACCGUAAACCGACACAGGUAGUCGAGGAGAGUAUCCUAAGGUGAGCGAGCGAACUCUCGUUAAGGAACUCGGCAAAAUGACCCCGUAACUUCGGGAGAAGGGGUGCUGACUUCGGUCAGCCGCAGUGAAUAGGCCCAAGCGACUGUUUAUCAAAAACACAGGUCUCUGCAAAAUCGUAAGAUGAAGUAUAGGGGCUGACGCCUGCCCGGUGCUGGAAGGUUAAGAGGAUGGGUUAGCUUCGGCGAAGCUCAGAAUUGAAGCCCCAGUAAACGGCGGCCGUAACUAUAACGGUCCUAAGGUAGCGAAAUUCCUUGUCGGGUAAGUUCCGACCCGCACGAAAGGCGUAACGAUUUGGGCACUGUCUCAACGAGAGACUCGGUGAAAUUUUAGUACCUGUGAAGAUGCAGGUUACCCGCGACAGGACGGAAAGACCCCAUGGAGCUUUACUGUAGUUUGAUAUUGAGUGUUUGUACCACAUGUACAGGAUAGGUAGGAGCCGAUGAGACCGGAACGCUAGUUUCGGAGGAGGCGCUGGUGGGAUACUACCCUUGUGUUAUGAACCCUCUAACCCGCACCACUAAUCGUGGUGGGAGACAGUGUCAGAUGGGCAGUUUGACUGGGGCGGUCGCCUCCUAAAAGGUAACGGAGGCGCCCAAAGGUUCCCUCAGAAUGGUUGGAAAUCAUUCGAAGAGUGUAAAGGCAGAAGGGAGCUUGACUGCGAGACCUACAAGUCGAGCAGGGACGAAAGU